UACGUAGGGUGCGAGCGUUGUCCGGAUUUAUUGGGCGUAAAGGGCUCGUAGGCGGCGUGUCGCGUCGGGAGUGAAAGCCCGUUGCUUAACGGCGGGUUGGCUUUCGGUACGGGCAUGCUGGAGUGCGGCAGGGGAGACUGGAAUUCCCGGUGUAGUGGUGAAAUGCGUAGAGAUCGGGAGGAACACCAGUGGCGAAGGCGGCUCGCUGGGC
rnacentral:rRNA from 1 species